rnacentral:rRNA from 1 species
GCUGUAGGUCUAAAUAUGCUAAAGGCACCAGAUCCUGUCUGAUCUUGGAUAUUAAGGAGAGUCAGCCAUUAUUAGUACUGGGGUGGGAAACCAUCAGCAAAUACCAUGUGCUAUUGGCU